rnacentral:SRP_RNA from 1 species
GCUGGGUGUGGUGGCUCACGCCUGUAAUCCUAGAGCUUUAGGAGGCUGAGGCAGGUGGACCACCUGAGGUCAGGGGUUAAAGACCAGCCUGGUGAAACCCCCUCUACUAAAAAUACAAAAAUUAGCCGGGCAUGGUGGCACCUGUAAUCCCAGCUACUUGGGAGGCUGAGGCNNNNNNNNNNUAAUUUUUGUAUUUUUAGUAGAGGGGGUUUCACCAGGCUGGUCUUUAACCCCUGACCUCAGGUGGUCCACCUGCCUCAG